GAUGAACGCUGGCGGCGUGCUUAACACAUGCAAGUCGAACGAAGCACUUUAUUUGAUUUCCUUCGGGACUGAUUAUUUUGUGACUGAGUGGCGGACGGGUGAGUAACGCGUGGGUAACCUGCCUUGUACAGGGGGAUAACAGUUGGAAACGGCUGCUAAUACCGCAUAAGCGCACAGCAUCGCAUGAUGCAGUGUGAAAAACUCCGGUGGUAUAAGAUGGACCCGCGUUGGAUUAGCUAGUUGGUGAGGUAACGGCCCACCAAGGCGACGAUCCAUAGCCGACUUGAGAGGGUGACCGGCCACAUUGGGACUGAGACACGGCCCAAACUCCUACGGGAGGCAGCAGUGGGGAAUAUUGCACAAUGGGCGAAAGCCUGAUGCAGCGACGCCGCGUGAGCGAAGAAGUAUUUCGGUAUGUAAAGCUCUAUCAGCAGGGAAGAUAAUGACGGUACCUGACGAAGAAGCACCGGCUAAAUACGUG
rnacentral:rRNA from 1 species